rnacentral:lncRNA from 1 species
UCUGCUCGACGGCUUCGCGUUGGAAUGCUUGAACUGGGGCCUGCUCCUGCUCUUGUUGCUCCUCCUCCUGCGACCGACCCUUUCGUACUACGACUAAUAGCUCCUGGUAGAUGGUACUUAGGUCAACCCUUCGUUAGUGCAAAAAUCUUUAAUUUUUUUAUUUUUGGUAAAAAGAAAAAAGAAAACAAUUUUUUAACUAAAUUACUUGUGAAGUUCUGGAAAUCUUAAAAAACUUUUUAGGAAUUCAUAAAAAAAAUUUAGGAUCAGGAAAAACUUUUAAGGAAAUCGGAGGUGUAGAUUAAAGGUAAAAGUAAAAAGUAAAAGUUAAAGGUUAGAGUUAAAGUAAUGAGUUAGAAGGUCGUAUUAGUCGAAAAGAAUCGAAAAACUUAAAGAGGAGAAGCUGGAAAGAGAGGUAUGUGUUAUAGAGUCUGUUUUAGGGGUGAUUAGCUAGGGUUGAGAAAUAGGUAAGUUUUGUGAGAGAGGUUUGGAAGGUUUAGACUGAGGGGAUAAAAAGCGACGAGUAUAAAUUUAUUGAAGGUAUGUUGUGUGUGGAGGGCUUGAAAGUAGUUUUUGUGUAUAGGUGAGAUGUAAAGAACUAGAGGUGGAGUUGUGGCUUAGGUGAAGGAGUGUUAAGGAAAGAUAAGUGCUGGGAGGGGUUUGGUCCAAGCUGAGAGUUUGAUAGGUGUAGUGCGUGGAAAGUAGUGAAAAAAGAAAAAACUGGGUGUAGCUGGAAGAGAACUAGAUGGGCUGCUAAGCGAGUGCAAGCUGACCUAAAGAAAGCUGCUGAAGCUAUAUUUAGCAAGGCACGUCACGACGCGUUUCGGCCUUGCCAGGGCCUCAUCAGGUGACUCUUGCGCUAAGUUUAGGUGCUUUGCUAUGCUAAGAGCCCCCUGAGAUGUAGAAAACGUAAACUGACCGUAGUGGGCGAACUGUACCAGUGGUGAAGAAGUUUGGUGGUGGUAGUUGGUGUUCGCAGAGCGGUUUUAGUCCAAUCGAUGGUGGUUGUCAAGUGGUGAGCGAGGACGAGCCUGAAUGAAAAACGUAAUGAUAGUGAGUUGUAAAGUCAAUUGCAGUGGGUGUAGGAGCCUGGUUUGGAGGUUUAUGAGCAGUUACGAGUUGGCAUGGCGGGUAUGUACGAUAUGGGUACUCGACGAGCAAUCACGGAGGUUUGAAUUGAAAACUAGCUGUGUUGCGAUGGAUUAUUUGCGAGGAAAAAGAAAGGCGGACGGCUGGGGAGGACUUACUGUUGGUGGGCGAUGAUGAGGUUCGAACGGUGGCGUUGUGCAAGAUAGCACCGCGCGAAGAUUGUAGGUCUUUGUGGAUUAUAGGGAAUAAAGAUAAGUUGUUGUAGAUGAGGAUACUGAAGAGUGGUGGUAUUUGAUGUGAAAGGUGUGGGCUAUAGGUGUGGCUAUAGGUAUGACGGCGUUCGGUGUUAUAGGCGCGAUUGAGCGAGUUUGGGAAUAAAUGGUGAACGAGAUAUCAGUAUAUGUAUUAAAUGGAGCGCGCUUCUUUAAAUCGAGUGUUCGUUGCGAGUGGGUGUGGUUCCCUGGAGUGAGUUGUAUCGCCGGCGGGAGGUGCGACGUGUCGGUUUGGGCGUAGUAUACUUUUGUUGAAAGGAAUAUUUUUGUAGGCGUUGGGUAUUUUUGUUGGGUUGAGGGGAGAUAGUCUGUAUGCCUGGCGCAUAUAGUGGAUUGGGAGUUAUUGUGUUGCUGGCUUUUGCCGUUGGCGAGUUGUUGGAAAGGUGAUAUGGUAGUUAAGAAAAAGUGAAAAAAGAAAAAAAGGGUAAGGCUUUCGUAAGAGAAUAGCAGUGAGACGGUUGAGUUUGUUACAGAGUUAGUUAGUUAUUACGUAAUGUCAGAAUGUGAAGGGAUGUUUGGAAUAAGGUGGGGAUAGGGGGUAUAGUCGUUACAGGAAGGUGUGACGGUGAAGCUCAGACUUCAGAGUCUUAAGGGAUACGAGGGAUAUUUUAGGAAAGAUCCACCAGACCGUGAUAAGUGAAGUUUUGGGAAAUACGUUAUGGUGUAGGAUUGACGAUACGAGUGGAUUGUAAGUAGUUUAAAGGGAGGGGGGAGUUGCCAAGGUGGUUGCUGCUGCAAGUACUGUGUAACGGGAGUCGAAAAACGUUAAUGGUUAACGUGGCUGCUGCUGCUGCUGCUGCUGCGCUAAGGCCUGCCGUUGCAGCUCUAAGGCUAAGGGAGUCGGUCGCGGCAGCGACAGCUGAGGAUGAUGACGAAUCUUCGCGAAUGGCGGGAAGCUGGCAAAGGUAACCCUCCCUGCCGCUCCUCUGCCUCCGCAGCGGCAGCACGUUCGUCGCCCGCCCCUCUGCGCCUGUCACCUAUAGCUUGGUGUGACGCCUGUUGCAUCAUGUGUGCUUUCUUUGUUUUCCCUGUUGUGCAUGUUCAACAGGCGGGCUGCACCUGGCCUGGGUUGGCAUUCCGCUCAUGGUGCUGGUGCUGGUGGUCGGUCGUGGCGUCAGCAUCGUGGAUNNNNNNNNNNNNNNNNNNNNNNNNNNNNNNNNNNNNNNNNNNNNNNNNNNUUGUUGGAAAGGUGAUAUGGUAGUUAAGAAAAAGUGAAAAAAGAAAAAAAGGGUAUCGCCGAGGCUUUCGUAAGAGAAUAGCAGUGAGACGGUUGAGUUUGUUACAGAGUUAGUUAGUUAUUACGUAAUGUCAGAAUGUGAAGGGAUGUUUGGAAUAAGGUGGGGAUAGGGGGCAUAGUCGUUACAGGAAGGUGUGACGGUGAAGCUCAGACUUUAGAGUCUUAAGGGAUAUGAGGGAUAUUUUAGGAAAGAUCCACCAGACCGUGAUAAGUGAAGUUUUGGUAAUUACGUUAUGGUGUAGGAUUGACGAUACGAGUGGAUUGUAAGUAGUUUAAAGGGAGGGGGGAGUUGCCAAGGUGGUUGCUGCUGCAAGUACUGUGUAACGGGAGUCGAAAAACGUUAAUGGUUAACGUGGCUGCUGCUGCUGCUGCUGCUGUGGUGGUGGCGGUGGUGGCAGCGACGGUUUGGAGGGGCUUGCUGCUGCUAGUCUACUACUUUCUGCUCCUACUCCUACUCCUGCUCCUGCUCCUCCGCCUCGAUCUUUAUCCAGCAUCAUCUCCUGCUCCUGCUCCUGCUCCUGCUCCUGCUCCUCCUACAGCAGAGGUGCGGCUGCUCUCCACCUCUCAGCCUGAAGUUCCUCCUCCUCCUCCUCCUCCUCCUCCUGCUCCUGCUCCUCCUCUUCCUCCUCUUCCCCCUCCCGCCAGCACUCUAUAAUAAUAAUAAUAAUAGCACGUGCCGCCUCAUGUACGUUUUG